rnacentral:rRNA from 1 species
GAUGAACGCUGGCGGCGUGCCUAAUACAUGCAAGUCGAGCGAACGGACGAGAAGCUUGCUUCUCUGAUGUUAGCGGCGGACGUGUGAGUAACACGUGGAUAACCUACCUAUAAGUCUGGGAUAACUUCGGGAAACCGGCGCUUAUACCGGAUAAUAUUUUGCACCGCAUGGUUCAAAAGUGAAAGACGGUCUUGCUGUCACUUAUAGAUGGAUCCGCGCUGCAUUAGCUAGUUGGUAAGGUAACGGCUUACCAAGGCAACGAUGCAUAGCCGACCUGAGAGGGUGAUCGGCCACACUGGAACUGAGACACGGUCCAGACUCCUAAGGGAGGCAGCAGUAGGGAAUCUUCCGCAAUGGGCGAAAGCCUGACGGAGCAACGCCGCGUGAGUGAUGAAGGUCUUCGGAUCGUAAAACUCUGUUAUUAGGGAAGAACAUAUGUGUAAGUAACUGUGCACAUCUUGACGGUACCUAAUCAGAAAGCCACGGCUAACUACGUG